AUCAACUACAAGCACACUGACACAUUCCACUUUCUGGAUCUGCAAAGCUGAGGAACAGAUGCUGGAAUGCUGUGACCCUGAGAUGUGACUGCGCCCUGCCAGGCCCAACAGCUGCCUCUCCAGAUGACACAUUUACCCCUUCUCCAACCGCAAGUGUACUGGCAUGUAACUGCAGCAGAUCUGGACACAUGUGCAUGUGAGCAGAUAGAAGAAUCAGUGCAGACUCAAAACUGCCUUGGGGCUCAUCAAGCCUGAGUAACAAAAUAAAUCAGAGAAAUGAAAAAAGGAGCAGAAAAUAUAGGACAAAAUAUUACAGUCUCCUCAAAAUAGUUGUAGAAUUGAGUAUGAUGAUCUCUAGGUCCAUCCACAUUGCUGCAAAUGGCAUUAUUUCAUUCCUUUUAAUGGCUGAAUUACUGACCUCUGGUUGAGAUGUCCUUGUCCUUGUCCACUGAGUGACCAGCUCUUAUCUGAGAACUCCAACCCCUGGUUGAAAAUCACAGCCUUAUUCUCUUUACUGACGAGGGUGUGUGGAAGAAAUGGCUAGCUGUCCACCAAGAUUCAUGCUCCCCUUACAGUGUAGAGUCAUUUUGGGGAAGGAGCUGAAGCCAGGGACUACAUUUCUCACCAAUCACCUCUGACUCCACCUUCUCCACCAGCAUCUCAGUAUGAACUUGUGUGACUUGUUCUUGCCAAUGAACUGUGAGCAGAAGAAAUGUUUGUUCCCCACGUUCCAGAACACUGGGAUUAAGAAGCCAGUUUGCACCUCACCCUAGUCAGAAUGACCAUCAUUAAAAAGUCUACAAACAAUAAAUGCUGGCGAGGGUGUGGAGAAAAGGAAACCCUCCUACACUGUUGGUGGGAAUGUACAUUGGUACAACCACUGUGGAGAACAGUAUGGAGGUUCCUUAAAAAACAAAAAAUAGAACUAUCAUAUGAUCCAGCAAUCCCACUCCUGGCCGUAUAUCCCAAGAAAACCAUAAUUCGGAAAGAUACAUGCACCCCAGUCUUCACUGCAGCACUAUUUACAAUAGCCAGGACAUGGAAGCAACCUAAAUGCCCAUCGACAGAGGAAUGGAUAAAGAAGAUGUGGUACAUAUAUACAAUGGAGUAUUACUCAGCCAUAAAAAAUGAAAUAAUGCCAUUUGCAGCAACACGGAUGCAACUAGAAAUUAUCACAAUAAUGAAAAACUCUCAGAGAACUUAAGUAAUUUGCUCACCAUCAUACAACUGGGAAUGGACAGAGGUGCAAUUUGAACUCUGACCUGUUUGAAUUCUGAAGACCAUGCCCUUUCUAUAAAGCAAUGUCAUCCACCCUGCACCACCCUGCACAGAAAGAGAGAUAACCACUAGAUUUCACUCACCACUGACAUCACAGCCAUUUCUCCUCAACUACAAUCAAAAUGGCAAGGGCAAUGGCUCUCCUAAGUAGACAUAGACUCCUAGAGUGCUCCCUGAGGAUUCAAGACCUUGGUUUCCUCCAAACCAGUCCCCCAUCCCUUGUUCAUACUGUCCAUCCUGACUUUGGAUGAUGUCACUAGCCCCUUGUGUCAUCACUCAGCUCAACUGUAUCUUUAUAAGAAGAGAGUAAGACUAAGAUGGUCAAGCCAAGGUGGUGAUGUCUGGAUGGGCAGACCUCAGGUCAUACCCAGCUAUUUCCAGCCCCAGGAGAAAAUCUGGAAAUUUGCCUGCACAGUAAAGAAGAAUUGUCAAAUCACAUGCCUCAUCAAUCAUGUGUGAUGUGAAAGAUUGAGAGCAGGAGUUGAAGGAAGUAUGGAUCUCUGAACCACUCUUUGGAGAAGACUGACACAGGAAAGCCACCCAACCCACAUAGGACUGUGCUGGAGUGACAAGCGUCACGGCGUUGUGUUAAGGCGUUGAAAUCUGAAGAUUUGUUUCUGAGGAAUCACUGAACAUUCAUCUAUAGAAAAGGACAAAGACUAUCUCCAGGGUUUUUGCAAAGAUGAAUUGAGAUAAUUUAUGCAAAGCACAGAGCAGUGUCUGGCACAGUUAAGGCUCGUUUUGUGGCAAGUGUUAUAUUUUAAGGUCAUGUUCAUUUAGAGGUUAAGAAUAAGGUCGUUAAGAUCAAUAGUUGAAGUUUAUAUCCCAGCUCUGCUACUAACUAACCAUGCAUGUUAAGAACAUUAUUUAACUUCUCUAUGCCUCAAUUUCUUUAUUUAUAAAAUGGCAAUAAAAAUAGCAUCCAACUUACAAGAUUGUGAAUUUAUAAUAAGAUGAUCCAUGUGGUGGUGGUGAUGGGUGAUGAUCUCCUGCCUGAUCUACCAUUAUAGAAGCAGAGUUGAUUGUCAGGGAAAAGAACUAAAGUGACAAGCUUGUGUGGAGACUGAACUAUGAUUUUGAUCUGAUCAACUGAACUGACUAGUCACAACAUAAGUACUGACAGAGCUGUCUCCAUCCACAAAGACUGUACCCAGAUCAGAACAGAAUGUCUAUAUCAGUAGGUAGAUUUUCUGCUGAAGAGAAACUUAGGAGCUGGGAAUACACAUAUACCAUUUUGACUUUAUGUUGUGUUUGUAUUUCUUUUUUAGUAAUUUCAAUGCAGUA